AUGGUGCAGAGACACCCCCAGUGGCUCUGGGUGAUAUUAGCCAAAUAAACCCCAGUUUUCAAGCUCACUCUCAGUCCUGGAUCUGUCAGCAAAGCUGGCAAUAGAGAAGUAAGGAUGCAGAACGUGUGAGGACAGUCAUGGAACAAGAAAAAAUAUAAAGAAGACAUACGGUAGACCAUAGAGAGAUUUUAGUGAAGAGAUGAAACAAGACACAAUACGUUAUCAAUAUAAGAGAAAUCAAUUAUCUAAAAGUUGGGAACCUAUAGUCUAGGUGCUUGCAAUGCUGCUGAGCUUUCCUCCGGGCACAGUACUCUGAGGCCUUGAAGAAAUUCCUGUAGAAGGGCUUCUGCAAAGCUCCAUGGGACCAAAUGUAUCCCCAGAUCUGCAGUACUAGAGUGAAAACCUUCAUUUGCACAGUGUCUUCUUACACGAUGUUGACAACACUGUUCUCAAACAUUCAAUCCUCUCAGAAGGAAGGCCCAUAUGGGGUCUUCUCCUCACAUAGCUCCCCUCAAAGCUCACUGGAAGCUUCAGUGAAAGCAAUAUCUACCAGGUAGGAAGAAGCAAAGAAAGUGUUGAUGGGAGUACACAAGAGAGUUCAGCAGAUCAGGAAAGACAAUCUUGUCUUAAUGGUGCAGGACUGAUGGUGCAGGACUGAAGAUCAAAAGACCUGGUUGAUCCUUUCAGUAUUAUGAGAGACGUCAUGGAGGAAGCUGGGCAAUCACUUUCAUUCUGACCUUCUGCCUUCCAGCUGCAAAACGAAGAUAGUGUCCUUCUUAGGUCUGAAAACUUAAAUAUUGCA